rnacentral:ncRNA from 1 species
CACAAAGGUUUGGUCCUAACCUUGUAAUCAAUUAUUACUCAAAUUACACAUGCAAGUCUCAGCCCCCCAGUGAAAACGCCCUCAACCCAAAAGAAGUAAGGAGCCGGUAUCAGGCACAAUAAUUCGCCCAAGACACCUAGCCACGCCACACCCCCAAGGGUAAUCAGCAGUGAUUAACAUUGAAUAUUAACGACAGUUAGACUCAGUCAGAGUAACAUAGAGCUGGCCAACCUGGUGCCAGCCGCCGCGGCUACACCAUGAAGCUCAAAUUGAUAACCAUCGGCGUAAAGCGUGGUAAUUUACUAACUGGAAUUAAACUUAAACUGGGUUGUGAUAAACCUGUGUUAAGGAAACUCAAAAACGAAAGUUAUUCUAGUCACCCCCUCCCCACGACAGCUGAGACACAAACUGGGAUUAGGUACCCCACUAUGCUCAGCCGUAAACCUUAAUUUACACUAAAAUCGCCAGGAAACUAUGAGCCAUGCUUAAAAUCCAAAGGACUUGACGGCGCCUUAUACCCAACUAGAGGAGCCUGUCCUAUAAUCGAUAAUCCCCGUUCAACCUCACCCCUUCUAGCUUUUCAGCCUGUAUACCUCCGUCGUCAGCCCACCACGUGAGCGUCAUUCAGUAAGCUCCCCCGCUCUAUUCACAUAAACGUCAGGUCAAGGUGCAGCAAACGAAGGGGGAAGAGAUGGGCUACAUUCUCUACCCUAGAGCACACGAAUGACUGCAUAUGAAACCCAGUCUGAAGGCGGAUUUAGAAGUAAAGGGAAAUCAAAGAGUUCCCUUUAAGCUGGCACUGAGACGUGUACACACCGCCCGUCACCCUCCUCGAAGCCAAUUUACAGUAAUUAACAACUAACUGCACUAAAGAGGAGGCAAGUCGUAACAUGGUAAGCUUACCGGAAGGUGUGCUUGGAAA